rnacentral:rRNA from 1 species
CUGCUGCCUUCCGUAGGAGUCUGGACCGUGUCUCAGUUCCAGUGUGGCUGGUCAUCCUCUNAGACCAGCUAGGGAUCGUCGCCUAGGUGAGCCGUUACCCCACCUACUAGCUAAUCCCAUCUGGGCACAUCCGAUGGCAAGAGGCCCGAAGGUCCCCCUCUUUGGUCUUGCGACGUUAUGCGGUAUUAGCUACCGUUUCCAGUAGUUAUCCCCCUCAUCAGGCGGUUUCCCAGACAUUACUCACCCGUCCGCCA